GAUGAAAGUAGCUCAGUUGGCAGAGUACGGGUUUGUGGGGCUCAAGGUCGAGAGUUCAAGUCUCUUCUUUCAUC
rnacentral:tRNA from 1 species